AUUUAUAUAGUAUAAUUAAUUAUAUUUGACUUCCAAUCAAAUGAUUUACCAAAAGUAAUAUAAAUU
rnacentral:tRNA from 1 species